rnacentral:rRNA from 1 species
GGAGAUCGCUGCUAUCAGAAUUCGACUUAACUAAGCUAGUUUGGGGCUCUUCGGAGCACCGGCGGACAGUUCCGUAACACGUCGAUAAUCUACCCUUAGGUCGGGGAUAACUUCGGGAAACUGAGGCUAAUACCUGAUAGAAGAAAAAUACUGGAAUGUGUUUUCUUCUAAAAUCACUGCCCAAGGAUGAGUCGGCGCCCGAUUAGGUCGUUGGUGGGGUAAUGGCCCACCAAGCCGAAGAUCGGUAGGGGCCUUGAGAGAGGCAGCCUCGAGGAGGACACUGAGAUAAGGGUCCUGACUCUACGGAGUAUAGCAAGUGCGAAAACUUUACAAUACACGAAAGUGUGAUAAGGGAAUUCUGAGUGCCUAUGUAUUGCAUAGGCUUUUGCCAAGAGUAAAUAUCUUGGAGAAUAAGUGGUGGGCAAGACUGGUGCCAGCAGCCGCGGUAACACCAGCGCCACAAGUGGGGAUCACUAUUAUUGGGCCUAAAGCGUUCGUAGCCGGUUGAGUGAAUCUUUUGUGAAAUCGUUAGGCUUAACCUAACGGCGUGCAGAAGACACUGCUCAACUUGGGACCGGGAGGAGUCAGAGGUAUUUGAGGGGUAGCGGUAAAAUGCAAUAAUCCCUUGAGGACCACCAGUGGCGAAGGCGUCUGACUAGAACGGGUCUGACGGUGAGGAACGAAAGCCAAGGGAGCGAACCGGAUUAGAUACCCGAGUAGUCUUGGCUGUAAACGCUGCGAGCUAGGUGUUGCAUAUUCUACAGGAAUAUGCAGUGUCGUAGUGAAGAUGUUAAGCUCGCCGCCUGGGAAGUACGGUCGCAAGACUGAAACUUAAAGGAAUUGGCGGGGGAGCACAACAAGGGGUGCGGCGUGCGGUUUAAUCCAACUCAACGCGGAGAAUCUCACCAGAGGCGACGGCAGGAUGAAGGUCAGGUUGAAGACUUUACCUAACAAGCCAGAGGUGGUGCAUGGCCGUCGUCAGCUCGUGCCGUGAGGUGUCCUGUUAAGUCAGGCAACGAGCGAGACCUGUACUUACAAUUGCCAACUGCUCAUUUAUGAGGACAGGGCACAAUGUAAGGACUGCCUUGGUAACAAGGAGGAAGGUGCAGGCAACGGUAGGUCUGUAUGCCCCGAAUCCUCUGGGCUACACGCGCGCAACAAUGGUAAGGACAAUGGGAUGCAACUCCGAAAGGAGAAGCUAAACCUCUAAACCUUAUCCCAGUCCAGAUUGAGGGCUGUAACUCGUCCUCAUGACGUUGGAAUCCCUAGUAACCGGACUUUAGCAUAGUCCGGUGAAUAUGUCCCUGCUCCUUGCACACACCGCCCGUCAAGCCAACCGAGCAGGGUUUAGGUAAAACUUAGUUCAUUAAUUAAGUUGAAUCUAAGCUCAGUGAGGUGGGCUAAGUCGUCACAAGGUA